rnacentral:snRNA from 1 species
CGUUCAUAGCGACGUUGCUU